rnacentral:rRNA from 1 species
UACAGAGGUCCCAAGCGUUGUUCGGAUUCACUGGGCGUAAAGGGUGCGUAGGUGGCAGGGUAAGUUUGAUGUGAAAUCUCCGGGCUUAACCCGGAAACUGCAAUGAAUACUAUCCUGCUCGAGGUUUGGAGGGGGGACUGGAAUUCUCGGUGUAGCAGUGAAAUGCGUAGAUAUCGAGAGGAACACCAGUGGCGAAGGCGAGUCCCUGGACACUUCCUGACACUGAGGCACGAAAGCUAGGGGAGCAAACAGG